UGCCAGCCGCCGCGGUAAGACAGGAGGAGCAAGCGUUACCCGGAAUUAUUGGGUGUAAAGGGUCCGUAGGCGGGCCUAUAAGUCAGGUAUGAAAGACCGGAGCUCAACUCCGAGUUUGUGCUUGAAACUGUAGGUCUAGAAUCAGGGAGAGGUAAGCGGAAUUCUUAGUGUAGGGGUGCAAUCCGUAGAUACUAAGAAGAACACCAAAAGCGAAGGCAGCUUACUGGAACUCGAUUGACGCUGAGGGACGAAAGCGUGGGGAGCGAAGAGGAUUAGAUA
rnacentral:rRNA from 1 species